UACGGGGGGGGGCAAGCGUUGUUCGGAAUUACUGGGCGUAAAGGGCUCGUAGGCGGCCAACUAAGUCAGACGUGAAAUACCCUCGGCUUAACCGGGGAACUGCGUCUGAUACUGGAUGGCUUGAGUUUGGGAGAGGGAUGCGGAAUUCCAGGUGUAGCGGUGAAAUUCGUAGAUAUCGGGAGGAACACCAGUGGCGAAGGCGGCGAUCUGGGUGGAUACUGACGCUGAGGUGCGAAAGCGUGGGGGAGCAAACAGG
rnacentral:rRNA from 1 species